UCAUCAAAAAUCUCACGAAAAAUAAAUCACAAAAAAAUAAGGAAUUUAUUUUAAAAAAUACCAAUUAAAUAACUGAAAGUUUAAAAAUAAUUAAACAAUAUUUAAGCCCGGCAAGACGCCAUUAAUCGAAUCGAGUGGUCGAGACGCGGCGUCGAAUGCGUCGCACAACACCGAUCCGUCAGUACGUCCGCAAAAAUUAAUAUCUAUGAAAGCAAUUGAUAUAGCGAAAAAAGCAGAUAAAAUAAAUAUUAGGUGAGAAAGAAAAAUAGAGACGCUAUGGCAACUCAAUGUACUUACCUCCGGAACUUCGUGUGGUAUGUAAUAAAGACAAAGGCGGCUGCCGGUGCGCGCGUCGUGGCGUCGGCGUUAGGCACACUGAGAAGUGUUUCGAGUUGCACUACAGCGACUACUGGCCACGGACUCCGUUUCUAUGUAUAUGGAUCCGUAUGUUACAUUCUGCUUGCUCAAGCUACCACCACUUGCCCUAUUCCCACUCUUCCAAUUAUUAUCCUUCUCUCUUCCUCCUAUUUUCUCUUUCACUUCCUCGCUCUUUCAAUCCAUAAGUAUUUCCCCUACUGUUUCCCUCAUUUUUAUUCCUUCUCUCUUUCUCCUGUGACAUUUUUGUUUUAUUAUCCAGCUCAUUAAAUUUUUUUUUUUUAUUUUAUUUCUUUCAACUAGAAUAUUUGUUUUCAAUGCCAGAGGUUCCCGCCAAAAAAUCUCGUUAUUUUCUACGGCUCCGAUCGAUCGAAGCAGGAAGCUUCACCUUGCUUCAUAUCUCUUAUUGGUUAUAAA